GCCUCGGUAGUCUAAAAGUUUAGGACGCUCGUAUGAAAUACAAGAGAUCCGGUUUCGACUCCCAGCCGAGGUA
rfam:Trachymyrmex septentrionalis contig15286, whole genome shotgun sequence.